GUUUCAUAUUAUUUAUAAUUUUUGAAAAUAGUAGUAUUUAACCUGUAAAACUAUAGUUUCAUGCCACGUGUCAUCUUUCGGGAGAAUUUUUUUUCGCUGAUGUGGACGCUCUAUGGAGCCUUAAAAGAUCCCUUUUAUUAGUAAGGAUGAGAGAGAGAGGUUAGAUGUAGUUCCAAUUACAAGAGUGAAGAGGUAGAAAAAGGCAAAUGACGACGGAAAUAACAAGCCUGAGGAAUCAAAGACCAAAAAUAUCUUGUCGCCCUUCCGUGUUCUUCUUUCAUGAUUUUGUUGUUCUGUGGAAGAUUGUUGCAGGUACGAUUUCACGCAAAGGGAAUCUCUUUCUUUUUUUGUAUCCGCGUUUGUGUUAUCAGUCUGUGAAAUUUUGAAGAAUUGGGGUUUGGUGGUUGGAGGGUGUUUCAGUUUCAGAGAUGGGGGAAGUUUAAGACUUGAGGCUUGAACACAAUCUCUGGGAAGUAAAAUCGUUUCAAUCGUUUCUUUCAUUUCUGGGUUCUCGUAUCCUGAUUUGGAUUUUCCGUCUGGUUGAUUUUGUGGGGUUGAUGCUUUCAUGCUAGUUAAUUAUGUGAUAUAUAUCUUCUGUGCUUAGGCUUAUGGUCAGGGGGCUUAUUUGUUAUUGUUUUCAGGAAACGUUCUUUCUUGUUAAUUCAAGUUCUAAAUCCGAACUAUUCUCACUUCUGGCAAGGUCUUACGUUGUUUACUUGUUUGCAAGACAGUAUGAGUUCGUUCAAUAAGAAUCCAGUACAGAUAAUGGGCUGCAUUUUGCUUUUGUUACCGUGAUGAUAUGGUAAAUGACGAGCUGCUAACCACAAUGUCUCGUUUAGUCAGGAGCACUUUAUGGAAGCUCGACAGAACAAUACCUGUUUCCAUACUCAUGACUAAAAUUUUGCAGAUAAGUGUUUCCCGUGACGUUUAAAACCACAACCAGGAGCGUCCAAUGACUUCUUCAAAACUCAAUGACCCUACAGUGAAGAACAACAUCUGGAAGGAAAAGACGAGGUUGAUACUCAAGAAACUCAAAGUGAAAGCUAUGACAAUGCUUUUGACCUCUCCUUUCCUGAUAAUGAUUGUCAGAGAAUGAUAGGCUAGCUUUAAUGGUUGCUCAGGAACUCAUUGCUAACUUACAGUUGGAAUUCGGUCAUCGCAUACUUGCCUGGACAUAAGCCUUUCUAAGCAGCUAGACUUAGCUCAACCUCUUGUUCGGUGCCGGUCUCUGGUUACAGCUGCUGAGCACCACUUGGUCUUUGGUACAGAAUUUUCCCAUGUCCUAGAUGCGGCAAUUUCCAUGCGCUUUGAGAUGCACUCAGUUAAAUGUGACAAACCUUACUUUACUGCAAAGUGCCACUGCUGUGGAUUCAAUAUGCCAAGCUUCCUGAUGUGCCAACCUUUACAAUAAAGAAGACUAUUCACGGGUGUCAUACAUUGGUAUCUUGCACCUUGGUCACUAUCAAGCUCCAGUGGAAUAGGUUGCUGAGGCUGUGAGAGAAAGGCUGAAACAAAAUCCAUAUUGCAAACCUAAGGAGAUAGUGGAGAAAAUUCACCAAGAUCAUGGAAUUACACUAUCAUACAAGCAAGCAUGGACGCGAGGGGAGGAUGUAUAAUGGAUGCUGUUGGCGGGUCAUUCGAAAAAUAUGCUUUCUUCUUUCUUUCUUUUUUGAAUAAAUGUUAAAUGUUAUUCAAAGCAAAACCUUUUUACAUCAAGUGCUUCUAUUUUUGGUGUAGUAUUUAACUUCUAGAAAAUCCUAUAAGGCAAAAAAUCUUUAUGGUUCUGACUCUCUAGUCCCAAACCAUGUGCUCAAGCUUUCUUCAAGACUUGCAGGCUUUGUUUGCUCUCCAUGCCUACGCCCAUUUCUUUCUCUCCAUAAAGCAUGGACCGUGGCUUGGAAUGCAUAUCGAAGUAGGAAUUGCUCUGUUGAUGGCAGUCUAUUAUUUGAUACCAUCGUCACAAUGUCGUUCCAGUCCGUGGUGAAAGCCCUUUGCAGGAUACCUCCCACUAGCACCUGUCAUAUCUGUUUGGAAUAAUUGCAGUUGAAGAAGAGGUGACUGCAAGUUUCAUCAGCUUCAUUACAGAGUACACAUGUUGGAUCAAAAUAUGCUUUCUUCCUAGAUAUUGUGAUGGAAUUAGAAGAAUUCAACCCUUACCAUGGAUUCCUGGUUGAUGGGAGCUUUCAACAGUUAUUUAUAUAUUUCCAUGUAUAAAUCUGUGGAUAUCUGAAUUGCAACAAUUAUUUUUAUAUUUCCUUUGGCCUUUGC